UCUUUUUUAGUAGCCAUUUGGUCACAAACACUGGCCAAAGUUAGCGUUAGUAUUUGUUUGUGUGUGAAAAAUGCAAAAAAAAAAAAAAAACAAUUUUGGCCAGUGUUAGUGACCAAGUGGCUACUAAAAAAGA